UAAACGCCAGCGUGAACAGAGAGAGGGUGUCCAGCGCCGUCAGGCACACCUCAGUAGCAAUAUUGGCUUCAAGUAACGACUGGUGGAGAACGUCAGCGUCCGAGUGGCCGUAGCCUGCAUGGAUCAUAACACAAGGUCACUGUCGGCGGCUGCAGAGCACAAGCUGGCGGACGGUGUAAGCAUUUAUUUCAACUGACAGUGAGAUAAUCCUUGUGUUAAAAUUUUCUGGGCGAAAGGAAACGUGGCAGGCCCUUCAGAAGAAUGGAGAUUUGAUUUGUGUGCUAAACAGGAAAUGAAAACUAAAAACAGUGAGACUCCUUGCUCUGUCUGCUCGAACCCCACGUCUGCAGAGCUGAAAAAGCCCUAACAGAGGCUCAAUGAACGACUUUACUUGAGUAGUUCCAUCAUAGGAAGGAACCCGGUGCCAUCAGUGGCAAAGCGGCAGCGCGGGGGCACCCUGCCGCCCACCCACUUCCUCAGCGCCCCUGGGAGAGCUCAGGCCUCCUCCCAGCAGGGCCUCCUCAGGCAGAGGUGGCAGCAUCAGGAGUGAGAAGUCCACGGUGGCCCGGUGUCUCCUGGCCGGCUGGUCACUCUCCUCCUCCUCCUCUCCAGCACCACGGACGACACAAGCCGAGUGCCUUCUGAGCAGCCUCUCCCUCUAUGCAGGAAGGCGUGUCAGGGUCAAGGGAAAAGUUCGACAGGUCAUGACCCCCGCAUGGAGAUGUCCGCGUGGCUCCAGGACCGUGGCUGAGCACCAUCGGGGAGAGGCCAGACCCGCAACCCCAUAGUAAGGUUAUGCACCUGAUCCCAAGGAAGGAUGGCCUCCACAUGUCUGAGAAUUGGGAAUGCAUCCCUAAGUGGGUCACCUGUUGACCGAUACAUGUGCUUGCCUAUAACUUGAAAUAACUUAGGAAAACAGUGGCCAAAGUGAGACUCAUCUAUCAUGGUUCCAGGUCUAAAUCUAAGUUUCAUCCAUUUGCACAAAAUUCAGAAUAGCUUUUGUUAUUUCAAGAAAAAUAUUUCAAUAUGAGCAGGUGUGUUAUGUUGGGGACCCAGGGUGAAUAGAGAGAUUCCCAAUAAAGAUUUAUCCCUGAGUCAUCCAUAAGAUCAAUUAAUCUUUUCUGGAGCCAGCUUUGGAUCCAGCGCCCAUUUGCAUAGGUAACUGUGUUAUAAACACUGUUCUCUGGCACACAGACCAUGGGGAUUCUUAGCAAGUGGCAUUCUGAUUUCCCUAUCUGUCUAAAUGGCCAGAACCAAAGUGCUCACUGUAAACACUGAUGAAAUGCUGGAACAGGAAUGGAGGGGUGCAGGAGAUGGGCCCCACCCUUAGACCACACUCUGACCAACUACCCCCGGUUUAACUGAGUUGUUUAAGAAAGAAAGAAAAAAAAAAAG